CCCUCUUUUGCUUCCCCUGUCAAUCUCAGGAACUCCUCGCAGGUGGUUGCUCAUCCAUCGUGUGAUGGCAUAUACUCAACUGAAUGCUCACCACUGUUCAAACUGUAGCGCUAAGAAUUUGUUCUCUCUUCUAUGAAAUUUUAUUGCAUGUUCGCUUACCUCUCUUCUUUCUGCAGUAUUCUUCGACGCCUUUCGGCCUCUGUCACCGCCGCUCCCUGAACUGCUAUCCGCUGCACAAGCAACAUACUGGGCCGUUCAACUUCCUGCCGCUGGCGCCGUGGGUCACCACAAAAUCGAGGUCGCUGCCCCUUGGCUCUUGCUGCUCUCGCCGCAGAUAUUUUAUGCCAGUAAGGUGUUUGUGUUAAUGGCUGAAAAGAGAAGAAUUUUUUGCCCCUGAAUUAUGUUUUGUGUUAGGAUGGCUAGUGACAUUGGAGAAUAAGUGGAGUACAAAUCUAAUUUUCUUGGAGGUUCAUUGUGUCUCUGUCGAGCAGUACAUUCUCUGAAUUAAGUCUGAUGUAAUUGGUUAAUGAAAACAAAACAAUUGUUCAAAUGUGCAUUAUAGAAAACAAUUCAUACAAAAAAGCAGUCAAGUAUUGUUGUAAAUUACAAAACAAUAGUCAGUUUUGUUUACAAAAAAGUUCACCACAUAAAAAAUGCAACAGUAGUUCAACACAAUAUACAGGAGGGUGUGAGUUGGAUAUGUUUACAAACUAAAGAUAUGUGUCAAAGAG
rnacentral:lncRNA from 1 species